UACGGAGGGUGCGAGCAUUGUCCGGAAUCAUUGGGCGUAAAGGGCGCGUAGGUGGCGGGACAAGCGUGCGGUGAAAGCCUGGGGCUCAACCCCGGGUCGGCCGUGCGAACUGUUUUGCUUGAGCACGGUAGAGGCAGGCGGAAUUCCGGGUGUAGCGGUGGAAUGCGUAGAGAUCCGGAAGAACACCGGUGGCGAAGGCGGCCUGCUGGGCAGUAGCUGACACUGAGGCGCGACAGCGUGGGGAGCAAACAGG
rnacentral:rRNA from 1 species